rnacentral:rRNA from 1 species
GACGAACGCUGGCGGCGUGCUUAACACAUGCAAGUCGAACGGAAAGGCCCUGCUUUUGUGGGGUGCUCGAGUGGCGAACGGGUGUGUAACACGCGAGUAACCUGCCCUUGACUUUGGGAUAACUUCUGGAAACUGGGGCUAAUACCGGAUAGGAGCUCCUGAUGCACGGUGGGGGUUGGAAAGUUUCGGCGGUUGGGGCUGGACUCGCGGCUUAUCAGCUUGUUGGUGGGGUAGUGGCUUACCAAGGCUUUGACGGGUAGCCGGCCUGAGAGGGUGACCGGCCACAUUGGGACUGAGAUACGGACCAGACUCCUACGGGAGGCAGCAGUGGGGAAUAUUGCACAAUGGGCGGAAGCCUGAUGCAGCAACGCCGCGUGCGGGAUGACGGCCUUCGGGUUGUAAACCGCUUUCGCCUGUGACGAAGCGUGAGUGACGGUAAUGGGUAAAGAAGCACCGGCUAACUACGUG